rnacentral:rRNA from 2 species
GGUUAAGCGACUAAGCGUACACGGUGGAUGCCCUGGCAGUCAGAGGCGAUGAAGGACGUGCUAAUCUGCGAUAAGCGUCGGUGAGGUGAUAUGAACCGUUAUAACCGGCGAUUUCCGAAUGGGGAAACCCAGUGUGUUUCGACACACUAUCAUUAACUGAAUCCAUAGGUUAAUGAGGCGAACCGGGGGAACUGAAACAUCUAAGUACCCCGAGGAAAAGAAAUCAACCGAGAUUCCCCCAGUAGCGGCGAGCGAACGGGGAGGAGCCCAGAGCCUGAAUCAGUGUGUGUGUUAGUGGAAGCGUCUGGAAAGGCGCGCGAUACAGGGUGACAGCCCCGUACACAAAAAUGCACAUACUGUGAGCUCGAUGAGUAGGGCGGGACACGUGGUAUCCUGUCUGAAUAUGGGGGGACCAUCCUCCAAGGCUAAAUACUCCUGACUGACCGAUAGUGAACCAGUACCGUGAGGGAAAGGCGAAAAGAACCCCGGCGAGGGGAGUGAAAAAGAACCUGAAACCGUGUACGUACAAGCAGUGGGAGCCUCUUAAUGGGGUGACUGCGUACCUUUUGUAUAAUGGGUCAGCGACUUAUAUUCUGUAGCAAGGUUAACCGAAUAGGGGAGCCGAAGGGAAACCGAGUCUUAACUGGGCGUUAAGUUGCAGGGUAUAGACCCGAAACCCGGUGAUCUAGCCAUGGGCAGGUUGAAGGUUGGGUAACACUAACUGGAGGACCGAACCGACUAAUGUUGAAAAAUUAGCGGAUGACUUGUGGCUGGGGGUGAAAGGCCAAUCAAACCGGGAGAUAGCUGGUUCUCCCCGAAAGCUAUUUAGGUAGCGCCUCGUGAAUUCAUCUCCGGGGGUAGAGCACUGUUUCGGCAAGGGGGUCAUCCCGACUUACCAACCCGAUGCAAACUGCGAAUACCGGAGAAUGUUAUCACGGGAGACACACGGCGGGUGCUAACGUCCGUCGUGAAGAGGGAAACAACCCAGACCGCCAGCUAAGGUCCCAAAGUCAUGGUUAAGUGGGAAACGAUGUGGGAAGGCCCAGACAGCCAGGAUGUUGGCUUAGAAGCAGCCAUCAUUUAAAGAAAGCGUAAUAGCUCACUGGUCGAGUCGGCCUGCGCGGAAGAUGUAACGGGGCUAAACCAUGCACCGAAGCUGCGGCAGCGACACUAUGUGUUGUUGGGUAGGGGAGCGUUCUGUAAGCCUGUGAAGGUGGCCUGUGAGGGUUGCUGGAGGUAUCAGAAGUGCGAAUGCUGACAUAAGUAACGAUAAAGCGGGUGAAAAGCCCGCUCGCCGGAAGACCAAGGGUUCCUGUCCAACGUUAAUCGGGGCAGGGUGAGUCGACCCCUAAGGCGAGGCCGAAAGGCGUAGUCGAUGGGAAACAGGUUAAUAUUCCUGUACUUGGUGUUACUGCGAAGGGGGGACGGAGAAGGCUAUGUUGGCCGGGCGACGGUUGUCCCGGUUUAAGCGUGUAGGCUGGUUUUCCAGGCAAAUCCGGAAAACCAAGGCUGAGGCGUGAUGACGAGGCACUACGGUGCUGAAGCGACAAAUGCCCUGCUUCCAGGAAAAGCCUCUAAGCAUCAGGUAACAUCAAAUCGUACCCCAAACCGACACAGGUGGUCAGGUAGAGAAUACCAAGGCGCUUGAGAGAACUCGGGUGAAGGAACUAGGCAAAAUGGUGCCGUAACUUCGGGAGAAGGCACGCUGAUAUGUAGGUGAAGCGACUUGCUCGUGGAGCUGAAAUCAGUCGAAGAUACCAGCUGGCUGCAACUGUUUAUUAAAAACACAGCACUGUGCAAACACGAAAGUGGACGUAUACGGUGUGACGCCUGCCCGGUGCCGGAAGGUUAAUUGAUGGGGUUAGCGGCAACGCGAAGCUCUUGAUCGAAGCCCCGGUAAACGGCGGCCGUAACUAUAACGGUCCUAAGGUAGCGAAAUUCCUUGUCGGGUAAGUUCCGACCUGCACGAAUGGCGUAAUGAUGGCCAGGCUGUCUCCACCCGAGACUCAGUGAAAUUGAACUCGCUGUGAAGAUGCAGUGUACCCGCGGCAAGACGGAAAGACCCCGUGAACCUUUACUAUAGCUUGACACUGAACAUUGAGCCUUGAUGUGUAGGAUAGGUGGGAGGCUUUGAAGUGUGGACGCCAGUCUGCAUGGAGCCGACCUUGAAAUACCACCCUUUAAUGUUUGAUGUUCUAACGUUGGCCCGUAAUCCGGGUUGCGGACAGUGUCUGGUGGGUAGUUUGACUGGGGCGGUCUCCUCCUAAAGAGUAACGGAGGAGCACGAAGGUUGGCUAAUCCUGGUCGGACAUCAGGAGGUUAGUGCAAUGGCAUAAGCCAGCUUGACUGCGAGCGUGACGGCGCGAGCAGGUGCGAAAGCAGGUCAUAGUGAUCCGGUGGUUCUGAAUGGAAGGGCCAUCGCUCAACGGAUAAAAGGUACUCCGGGGAUAACAGGCUGAUACCGCCCAAGAGUUCAUAUCGACGGCGGUGUUUGGCACCUCGAUGUCGGCUCAUCACAUCCUGGGGCUGAAGUAGGUCCCAAGGGUAUGGCUGUUCGCCAUUUAAAGUGGUACGCGAGCUGGGUUUAGAACGUCGUGAGACAGUUCGGUCCCUAUCUGCCGUGGGCGCUGGAGAACUGAGGGGGGCUGCUCCUAGUACGAGAGGACCGGAGUGGACGCAUCACUGGUGUUCGGGUUGUCAUGCCAAUGGCACUGCCCGGUAGCUAAAUGCGGAAGAGAUAAGUGCUGAAAGCAUCUAAGCACGAAACUUGCCCCGAGAUGAGUUCUCCCUGAGACUUAGAGUCUCCUGAAGGAACGUUGAAGACGACGACGUUGAUAGGCCGGGUGUGUAAGCGCAGCGAUGCGUUGAGCUAACCGGUACUAAUGAACCGUGAGGCUUAACCUU